AGCUCCGGUGGCUUAGUGGCUAGAGUGUCAGCGUCGGAUGCGUGGGGUCGUGGGUUCGAUCCCCGGUCGAGUCA